rnacentral:misc_RNA from 1 species
GAGAAAUUGACCAAAACAAGCUGCAAGCAGUCCAAGAAUUACUGGUUCAAUUCAUUUGCUAGCCGUCCUACACCUGAACCUCACAAUAUCUAGACCUUAUUGUUUCCAAAUUGAUAUAAAUAAGUGCUUAAGAAAUAUAAACAAUAUCUCUCUGAAUGGAAAAAUAGUUUAACAGGACGUAGCCAACUAUGGUCAUGCAGUAAUUG